AGACCUUUAGUUUGAAACCCCGAAACCAGGUGAGCUACCCCGAGACAGCCUAUUUAAAUUUAGGGCUAACCCGUCUCUGUGGCAAAAGAGUGGGAAGAGCUCCGGGUAGAAGUGACAGACCUACCGAACCUGGUGAUAGCUGGUUGCCUGAGAAAUGGAUAGAAGUUCAGCCUCGUACACCCCAAAUCAUAAAAGUAUAUAAUAAAGACAAUUAAGGGAAAAAUACGAGAGUUAGUUAAAGGGGGUACAGCCCCUCUAACAAAGGAUACAACCUUAACAGGAGGAUAAAGAUCAUAAUACAUAAAACAUACUGUUUUAGUGGGCCUAAAAGCAGCCAUCUAAAUAGAAAGCGUUAAAGCUCGGACAGACAAAAGUUUAUUAUACUGAUAAAAAAAUCUUAUUCCCCUAACAAUAUUAGGCUAACCCAUGCCCGCAUGGAAGAAAUUAUGCUAAAAUGAGUAACAAGAAGAAUUGCUCUUCUCCGGGCACAAGUGUAGACCAGAUCGGACCAACCACUGGAAAUUAACGAACCCAGCCCAAGAGGGUAAUGUGAACAACAAAAAAACCAAGAAGAACUCACAACAAAUUAAUCGUUAACCCCACACUGGAGUGCCACCUUUAAAGGAAAGACUAAAAGAAAGGGAAGGAACUCGGCAAACACAAGCCUCGCCUGUUUACCAAAAACAUCGCCUCCUGCAACUAAACUGAGUAUAGGAGGUCCAGCCUGCCCAGUGACUACGGGUUCAACGGCCGCGGUAUUUUGACCGUGCAAAGGUAGCGCAAUCACUUGUCUUUUAAAUAGAGACCUGUAUGAAUGGCUAAACGAGGGCUUAACUGUCUCCCCCUUCAAGUCAGUGAAAUUGAUCUAUCCGUGCAGAAGCGGGUAUAAAUAUACAAGACGAGAAGACCCUUUGGAGCUUAAGGUACAAAAUUUAACCACAUUAAGCAACUCAAUAAAAAGCAAAAAAUUAGUGGGAAUGAAGUUUUACCUUCGGUUGGGGCGACCACGGAGGAAAAACGAUCCUCCGAGUGGAAUGGGCUAAACCCCUAAAACUAAGAGAAACAUCUCUAAGCCGCAGAACAUCUGACCAAAUAUGAUCCGGCUAAUAAGGCCGAUCAACGAACCAAGUUACCCUAGGGAUAACAGCGCAAUCCUCUCCCAGAGUCCAUAUCGACGAGGGGGUUUACGACCUCGAUGUUGGAUCAGGACAUCCUAAUGGUGCAGCCG
rnacentral:rRNA from 1 species